UUGACACUGAAGAAGUCUGUAAGUCACAGACGAAAUAGGCCUAUCUGUCCGAAGAUAAGCACAGUAGUAGAAUUAAAAGGAAUUUGCUCGUCCUUUCUAGUUUUUCUUUAAAAGAGUUAUUCAUUUUUUAUUUUCUUUUGCAAAAGUAAAGUAUUAGUGAAGUGUUUUUAAAUUAAACUAGAGUCUGAAGUAACAAGUUCUACUAAAAGCUCUAAAGUAAUAGUAAAGAGGCUAGUUUGGUUUUGUCAUGCCAAAAUAUUCUAAACAUAACUAAUUUAAUAAUUCCAAUGGUUCUAAAAGACAUUGUUGGUAUAUUUCUCUUUAAUAACGGGCAUUAAAACUGUUUCAAUUUUUUUUCAUUCGAUAUGUUAUGCAUAUAAUGAUAAGUGGAGCAGAUCUUCAUUUACUCCAUAUCACGGGGCAAGUGGGACUCAUUCGGAGUUUUUGUACAACUUAAUAUAGUUGCUGCAUAUAUGUAUGAAAGUGCCAAACUGUAAUGAAAAAAAAAAAGCAAAAAAAACAGAUUUCGCAACCAUGACCGGUAGCCGGUUGGCCAAUCCAGCUGAAAAGGGGACAUAUUCCGCCAGAAAAGCACUUUCUCGGAAGCGGAGUCGAUCUACAAUGCUGCCUUGACCUGGAGUAGAAUCAAAGGUUUCAGGUCGCAAAAACUUAAUAUCAUCUCGUUCCCUGCAGCCGCUUGAGGAGAACGCCAAACGAUUCCAGCACUUCCAUCCAUAGGGAAAAGCAAAGGCUAGCGAUUUUUGUUGAGAUAUUGCUGGGGCGGCCUCCGGAAGAAUGCUGCUGGAGUAUACGGAAACAAUCAAGAGGAACUGGCUAUCAAGCUCCGAAGAGGGAUCCAUGAAUGAGGUAAACGGGCGAAGAGCAUAUCAGUACCGCGAUUUGAAAAAAAAACUGAUCGGCUCAAGUAGCAGCAGCAAACCCAUACAUCCGGAUCCAGGAACAGUUUAUUCAGCGGAAGUCGGAGGUGUUUUUAAAUUACAUUAGAAUUAGUGUUUAAUGACUGCAAUCAGGUGGAAUAUUCAUCCACUACGACACAAUCUGACGGGGAGAGAGGGGUGGUGGAGUCGGCAAAUUAAAAUAUGCCAUGGAUUUUUUUAGAGUUAUUGUACUUGAAGUAAAAUAUUUCUAGACGUA